UGAGCAAAGAAGGCUGUGAAACAUUGUCUUUAUAUUUUAACAUUUUGAACUUUUGUUCACAAAAUAUACAAAAAUAUUCUGCUCUCAUGGAUAUCAAACAAAUGCAAACACAACACAGGUUUAUGUGCUACCUCUCUUUGCCAAGAUAACAGCUCUGAGUCUUCUCCUAUAAUGCCUGAUGAGGUUGGAGAAUAUAUAUAUAUAUAUUUUUUUUUUAUUAUAUCUUUUUAUUUAUAUCCAAAAACCAAAAAAUAAACAAAUACAUAAAAAAAAGAAAAAAGAAGAAGACAAACAAUACUCAACACAUAAAACAAAUUGCAUAAAGCAAAUUUCCCCAAAAUAGCAACAAAUUUAAAUCAAACCAAUUACCAGUUCCCAGAUUGUUCAUUUUCCUUGUCCCUGUCCCCCUAUCCUCCCCCAUCUAUUUCACAAUUACUAACUAUCCAUGUGGUUUAAAAAGGAUUAAUAAUUUGCUCUAUAUAGAGUACAGUACCCUCGCUUUGACAGCAAGCGAACUCUCUCCAAUUCUUGAGAAAGGAAUUUCCUCUUCCCCCACUCAGCUUAGACUCAAAGGCUGCCUUAAUCAUUGAGUCAAGCAGAAGAUUUUUCACUUCCCUCAUAGAGGGAGUUUUAGAAGUUAUCCAAUAUUUAAAGAUAAGUGUCCUCAGUAUUAUUAUUGCCGUACGUAUGAAGUUUGCUAAUUUUCCCCAAGAGUUAUGGCCGACCAGAAAGAGGAUAGAGUCCAUUUCUAUGUAAAUCCUCGAUUUCCCUAUUAAAGAGAGAUAAUACUCUAACUUCGCUGAAAAUUGUUUAAGCUUGGGACAAUCCCAUAACAAAUUACCCAAAUUAGGAUCUUGGAAAGAACAUUUAGGACAAACAUUAGUCACUUCUUUAUUCCAUUUAGCCACCCUACGAGGGGUUAAAUAAUCCCCCUGAAUUAAUCUAAAUUGUGAUUCUCUAUAAUAGGAAGCCGAAAAAAGUCUUUGAGUAAGUUUAAGGCUGUUCAUAAGUUAUUUAUCUAAGUCCGUUGAGUCAGUUAUUCUAUCCCACUGUUUAGCUAACUCCUGUGACACAUCCUUUUCUUCUAAAGAUAGAAGAAAUCUGUAGAUAUUUGACAAUAACCUUUUCUCUGAUAAUUUAACGUUAAUAAGAGGAUGAUCCUCCCAUAUAUGGGGAGAAAUUCUAACAAGACCAAGAAUAUAACUCUUAAUUUGUAGAAAAUAAAAAAUAUGGUUUCUCUGAAUUACUGGAAACUUUUUUUGAAAAUUAUCAAAUGGAUAUACUUUAUGCUGGUUAUAGUCAUAAAAAUCACUAACAAUCAAAGGAUUAGCCGGUGACCAUCUUUCAUAAAUAGCCGUCAUGUUACCCAGCGGAAAUCGGGUAUUGCCUUUUAUCGGUAACCAUUUAGAAACAUUCUGUGCUAAACCCAAAUGUUUAGAUAGCUUCCUCCAGCACAGCAAUAUAUCCUUAAAUAAUGGAUGGUCAAGAAUAACCCUACUGAGCUCCUUGUUGGUAGCAAAUAGAACAAAGUUCAGGGAGAGAGAGGAACAAACCUGUCUUUCUAGAGACUUCUGAAUAUAUAAAGGACCGUUUUAACCAGUCUAUUGGAAAACGCAAGAUGGCAGCCUGAUUAUACCAUUCUAAAUUGGAUAGCCCUAAACCUCCUUUACAAUACGGUUGAUAUAACCUGGCUAGCUUAAGUCUUGGUUUCCUUCCACUCCAAAGAUAGUACCUUAAUGCUUGAUUAAAGCACAAAAGAUCAGUCUUCUUAAUCAAGAAGGGGAGCAUCCUUAAUGUAUACAAAAUUUUAGGAACAAUAAACAUUUUAAACAGGGCCACUUUACCAGUCAAAGAGACUGGGAGUGUCGCCCACGAUUUCAUCUUCUCUUCAGUGUCUCUCAAAACCGUGCCAAUAUUGUCCCUAUACCAAUUAGCCGAGUUGGCAGAGAUCUUCAGCCCUAAAUAGCGCAGAGUCUUAGUUUCCAUAAAUUGAUAGGUUUGGAGGUCCUCUGCAUCUUGUUUUAACAAUAGGAUCUUAGAUUUUGCAAGAUUAAUCUUAUAACCUGACACUAUACUGUAUUGAUCCAAUAAGUUCACAAUCUCUUCAACCUGCUUUUUUGGGUUGGAUACAUAUAAUAAAAGAUCAUCCGCAAAUAAUGCAGUUUUAAAUGUCUCCCUUCCUAUGUUAAUUCCGGUAAGCAGAUUCCUUAAUCUAAUAGCUAAGGGCUCAAUUUAAGAUCAAACAACAAAGGCGACAUAGGACACCCCUGUCUAGUGCCUCUUGUCAAAGAAAAAACGUCCGAAAUCCCAUAAUUGAUCAAGAUAGAAGCUUUAAUGUCUGAGUAAAUAUUAGUCACGAAAUCCCCAAACCUCCCCACAAUCCCAAACCUCCCUAAUACCUGUACCUGUAAAAGGAAGGGCCACUCCACUCUGUUGAAGGCCUUCUCUGCAUCCAAAGAUAGCAGGAAGGCCUCCGGUAGAGCCGAGCCGCCCCCCCCAUAAUGGCAAAUUACAUGUAGAAUUUUCCUUAUAUUGAAUUCCGAGGCCCUACCCAUAAUAAAACCUGCCUGAUCCUGGUGAAUUAUCCUAGGGAGAAUUAACUUCAACCUGUCGGCCAGAAUUUUCAUUAAGAUUUUAUAAUCCAGACCAAGCAAGGAAAUUGGUCUAUACGAAGCAAUAUCCGAAGGGUCUUUGUUACUUUUAGGGAUUACAAUAAUAUUAGCUCUUUUAAAAUUGUCUGAUGUUUUAAGAUUUGAUCCAAAAUACGCAUUGUAAAGAUCUACCAGAACCGGGACAAUCUCAGUCCGUAACAUCUGAUAGAACUCCAGAGGUAAAUUAUCUGGCCCUGGCGUCUUCCCCCUAGCCAUUAAACUAAUUGUUUUCUGAAUCUCAUUUUCAGAUAUCGGUUGGUUCAGACACUCGCGAUCUACUUCUGAGAUUUGAGGAAUGUCAGUUCUAUCCAGAAAUUCCGUAAUUUUUCCCAUUUCAGGGCUCUGAGUUGAAUAGAGUUCUUUAUAAAAGUUCUGAAAUAGUUGUGUAAUUUUCUCCUGCCCAGUAUAAGUUGUACCCCUUAUUUUCAAGGCUGCAACUGGUUUCCUCCUAGUUUGUCUCUUAAAAGUUGCAGCCAUCAAUUUACCAGCUUUAUUGCCAAACUUUGAAAAUCUAGCAGCAUUCCUAUAAAGAAGUUCCUGUGCCUCCCCCAAUAGAAAGGUCUCUCUAUCUUUCCUUAUGGAAAAAUAACUUUCUGUGUUAACUUUAUUAGGAUUUUUUAAAUACAAAGCAUAUGCCUCCCUAAGCUUUUCAGAUAGAUCAUUCUCUUUCCCUACCCUGUCCUUCUUCUUUAGCCUUGCUACAUAAGUAUUAAUUUCCGCUUUCAUAUAAACUUUAGCAGUCUCCCAAAAUAGUUGGAUAUUUUCUCUACAAUGACUAUUAAAUGUCCCAAAUUCUUCCCAUGUAUUCAAGAGGAAGUUUUUGAAUUUAACCGAAUCUCUUAGGUACGUGGGGAAAAAGAAGCAAUUAUAAGUGAAGUUUAACUUUGUUUUAAAAGAUAGAAAUACUGGGGCAUGGUCUGAUAACACAAAAUCAUGUAUAUUGCACUUCUCAAUUCUAGUUACCAAAGAUUCAGAGAUGAGGAACAUAUCCAAUCUUGAGAGGGUAUUAUGUGAUUUUGAACAGCAAGUAUAUUCCAGAUUACUAGGAUUCAAAAGUCUCCAUAUAUCCACUACAUUUAAAGCCUCAGACAAUAAACCAAAAAUCUUUUUCUCAAAUUUAAUCUGAGAUUUAUAUUUGCCCUUGUUUCUGUCCGGACCCAUUUUCCUCCUAUCCAAAUAAGAGUUAGGAGUCAGAUUAAAGUCACCUGUUAAUAACAAUUUAGCUUUAGAGAAUUUGCAUACAAUUUUAGUUAAUGACCACCAAAACCUUUCAUCUAAGUUAUUUGGACCAUAAAUAUUAACCAGUAAGUAUUCCUGGUUCUGUAUAAUAAGCCUGUUAAUUAAAUACCUCCCUUCUUUAUCUUUUAAGACUCUAAGAAUUUUAAAAUCAAAUUUGGUAUGAAAUAGGAUCAUUACCCCUCUAGAUGUUUUAAUAUAAGAAGAGAAAAAAGACUCUCCCAACCAUUUUGUUUUAAUUUUAUUGUGCUCUUUAUCUGACAAGUGGGUUUCCUGAAGACAAGCUAUAUCAAAGUUGCUUUUACCUAAAUAAUUUAGAAUUGCUUUCCUUUUGACUGGGGAAUGAAUCCCCCCUACAUUCCAGGUUAAAACCUUUACCAUUCUUUAACUACCCAAAAAAUAAAGGAGGAAGAGUAAGCGCCGAUUAAGAAGGAAAGGAGGGAGCGGGAGAGAGAAGGGUGAGGGGAAGAAAAAAAUUAAAUUAAAAAAAAUACAAGUUUAUACUUAAUAUACUCUUAUCCAGUGAUUGUGCAUAUUACAACCAAUAAUACAGUGACUAACUGUUCUAUACUUAAACAAAUAUACACAAAAUAGGUUUGCAUAUGGUGUUUAACCCUUAUUAACCAAAGAUACAGACAUAAUAUCAUUCUAUUGAGUAAAUAUGUCUUCUUCAAACAAUUUAUAACAGUGAUUGUUUAAUUCUAUACUCAAGCCCAUAGAGCAUGUGCUGUCCAUCUGUUCCAUAGAUGUACAAGAUUCAAACUUUAUAUUCAAACAGUGACUAUUCCACACAACAAGAAAAAAAAAAAGGGAAUAUAGUGUUGAACCCUUAAUGGUCAAAAAUACAAACAUAAUAUCAUUCUGUUUCAUGAAUGUGCCUUUUUCAAAUAAUACACUUUGUUACCGUGAUUGUUUGGUCUCUACUUAAACCCAUAUUGCACAUAUUAUCCACCUGUUCAAUAAAUAUACAGAAUUCAGGCAUGAAACCCCACAUUUUUUGCAAUUGAACACAGAAAGUAUGAACCGUGUUUAAAAAAAAAAAAAAAACCCACAUUUUUUUCUGCAAUUGAACACAGAAAGUACAAAAAAAAACCCAAAAAAACCACACAUUUUUUCUGCAAUUGAACACAGAAAGUGUAAACAAUGUCUUCUUCAACCCUUUAAGGAGACAGCUUUCAGUUUGCUCAAUUGUUUUAUGACGGAAAAAUUCCGUCAUAUGUCCUUAAGAGGUUAAAAAAAAAAAAAACCCCAGAAUGAAGAAAGGACAGGGGACUCUCAUUAAACAGAUUGACUUUUUGAUUUCUUCUUAUUUUUUUACCUUUGCCAUUCCUCUGCAGGAAUACCUCUAAGUAUCUAUACAUCUAUCUGCAAUUAAGCACAAAUAGCAUAGGCAGUGCUUUAAUAAUAAGAAAAAAAAAACUUAAGUUAAAAAGGAACAGGGAACUCUCAUUAAACAAAUUAACUUUUUGAUUCAUUUUCUAAAAAAAUUUGGGCAGCCUCAGGAGAAUAAAAAAAAACGAAGUCAGACCCAGAUUUGAUCUUCAGCUUGGCUGGGUACAGAAGAGAAAAAAGUCUGUUUUCAGACACCAGACGAGAACAUAUUGAUGAAAAUUGCUUCCUCUUCAGCGAUGUUUCCAUAGAAAAGUCCUGAAAGAGUAAGAUUUUCACUCCUUGAAAUUGUAGCGAUUUCUUCUUCCUAUAGGCCCUUAGAAUCUCAUUUUUCCCUUGAAAGUUCAAGAAUUUUGCAAUCACAGGCCUCGGUUUCCUCUCCUUCCCAGCCUAUGUACUCUUUCAAUUGUAAAGAUGUUACUCUCAGGAUUCAGGCCUAGUAUUUCCGGAAGUGAGUGCUCCACAAAUUUCUUGAGGUCUUGAAAUUUCAAAGCUUCUGGCAGCCGGCAGAUUGCUUCUCCUUGACCUGUUUUCCAUAUCCUCAAUCUUAUUGGUUAAAACUGUGUUCUGUUUUUGUAGAGCUUCUAUUUGUAGCUGUAUAGUAUUUUGAAUGUCUUCACAGUUAGAGAUUCUCUGUUCAGCCUCUCUUAGCCUUUCUGUUUGCGAUUUUAACUCUUCCAAAAUUGUAUCUACCCUUUUAUAGAAUUCCUCUAUUUUAGGACUAAUUAGGUCUGCCACCAGAGCUGCAAUUUCACCGGCAUUCAAGGCAUUAGAGACCUCAGAGUUCCUUUCUUCCAUCAUAGAUUUAUUUGGGGAGGUAGCAAGGGUGGCUUUGUUGUUCUUCCUCUCCAAUUGCUUUAAUUUAGGUGACAUUUUGGACUGAGUAAGAUAUUUAUCCAUGUAUAGCAAUCUACAGCUCUUUACGCAGCUUAAGCUUUUAUUUAUAAUACAGCUUGCACCCAAGGUGUAGAGAGUUUUUUUUUUCCUGAAUACCCAUAUAGGAGAGAAAUAUGAAACAAACAAGAUAGAUGAUAACAAAAGGGAAACUUGUAGCCACUCUAUUAUAAAAAUUAGCUAACAGGUGGCAGAGUUAGCAAUACACACCAACUGCUUCCUCAAUUCAUUCAAGGGCCCUUCUGUAGCAUAAAUCAAAAGUCCCAGCUCGUGUGACACAGCUGCAGCAAAAAGCCUCCAAAAAAUAAGUUUCAGCAAUUCAGGCUCAAUUCGUAAUACAAUUUACACCCAAGGUGAAGAAAAUUCUUCCAAGUAGGUACCCAUAUAGGAGAGAGAAGUAUCAUUAAGAUAAAAAGUAGUACAAUAAAACUUAUGUUCCUCCUACUGUGGUAAAUUGAUGGCAAAUAACAAAGUUUGCAGCAUGUGCCAAUUACUUCCUCAAUAUCAAGUCUCUCUAGGGGAGUUUUCUUAUUAGGAGAUACUUUAGGGGGGUACUUAGGGAGGUGAAAUAUAGUAAUACAGUGGGAGGAUGGCGACAGUUCUGAGGGGGUAAAAGGGGCCAAGCACCUGUUUUCUCUCCAACUCAGCAGCCUCAGUUCAUUUAAUCAUCCCUAGCCACAUUAUCCCCUCAUCAGCAUGGCAUCAAAGAGGUCAACUGCGUUCUCCAAAGUGAAAACUGCUUCUCCUUACCCCAGGGAUCCUUCUAAGUCUUCUCCACUUUAGCUUCCUUUAUGGGGGUUGAAGACCUCUCAAACAGAGGCAGCUCUGCAGCUCUAGGGUGCACCGCUCUCACCCUCUCAGGCACCAAAGAGCCCCAGCGUUAGUCGGCAGCUUCCAGCCACAGGAAAGCCGCUAGACUCUUCUUGUGCUGCUGUUGCAGCAGCUUGCGUGGUCUCCCACACCACAGCGCUCCCCUUGCUGUUCUCUCCUUAGAACGAGGGUGUCGGCUCCCUGAUGUCCUCUACCGCCGUAGCGCACUAACACUCCUCGCCCUCCUGGGGAAAACUUCAAUGGGCACACACCACUCCCAUCCUCUGUAGCAGACGCGGCUUUCUCUCUGCCGCCGUCGUGUCUGCACUUUACCUGGGCUAGCGCUGAUUGUGCUGCGUGAUGACGCAACAGCGCACUUCCCCCGUCGACAGGAGAAUAUUUUACAAGGGAUAUAAGACCAUUCCUCCAUACAGAAUCUCUUUAGAUCCUUCCAAUUUUGAGGUUGAUGAUGAUGGACUCUCCUCUUCAGUUCACCCCACAGGAUUUCUAUGGGGUUAAAGCUAGGGGACUGGGAUGGCCAUUGCCGGACCUUGAUUUUUGUCAUGUUCUUUGUGCAUGUGUGUACACCUUUAAGCACUCCUUACUUAAACCUACACCUCCCCCUUCCAGGUGCCAAUUAAUGUUAGUUUUCAGCAUGCAAAGUUGCGACUAGCUGCAUGUUCUAAACCUCCUGGCUAAGUGAUUAUCCUCUACCUAAUCGUUGGAUUACAACUAAUAUACUUUUGGGUAUUUUCAACCUACUAUACCGUACACAUUUAACGGUCCUAAGGACUUAUAUUCCAAUUUGUUUGUACUGUUAACCAGGACUACUGCCUUUCAUUGCCGGUAUAUCCAAAGUCUCCUGCAGACAACUCCCUCCAUCAAACACAGUGAGUUUAUGUUCCUCUGAACUUCCUUUGCACCUCUGAACAAACUCGCUCUUUCCAGCUACCUGGCAUUCCUUACACUUACUCACCGACCAUCCUUCCGCACUGCAGCCGCGCUGUGAAGCCUCUCACACAGCGUCUGCCUGUCAGCGUGAUCUCGCACGCUAUUGGACAGUCGUCACACACCCCUCUGAGGCUGUCAGCUAUCUGCAGCGCUGGCUCGUCUCCCCUCACAGGCUCUGUCUCCAUUCCUGCCUGAGCAGUAAAUAAUACCAGACCGCUCCUAAAACACUCUCAACUCGGAGUUGAUCAGCCACAUGUUCUCUAAACUUGCAACUUGAACUCAGGAGAGUGGUCCCACUUGAACAGAUGCUCAUAUACAAUUGACUCUUUGCUAAUACUCGCAUGACCUACUCUCUCCUGUAACCAGUAAACAGGGAUAAAUAACCUCUACUCAAUUCCUCUACUCUUUCCCUCUCUGCAGUUGAGAUCCAUAAUCUCCAGUUACAAUCCAUUGCUCUGACAUAUUAAUUGGCCUAAUAAAAGAAUAUACAUGGAUCCAGCAGACCUCCCAAAUGUGGUAUACAACCUCUCCCAAAGGGUUGACCAAUUGUCACAAGCACUUAGAGAGCUGCAAUUGCAGAAUGACAGUCUUAGGGCAGCUGUUAGAGACAACACACCAGAACCACAGGUGUGUCUGCCUGAAAGAUUCUCUGGCGACAGGAAAUUGUUCAGACAAUUCAGAAAUGCCUGCUACCUCCUAUUUCAGAUGAGGCCCAAGACAUAUCAUACAGAGAGACUUAAGGUGAUGACUGUCAUCUCCUUCCUAUCUGGUGAGCCUAGGGUAUGGGCUGACAACCUCUUCGAAAAUAAUGACCCUAUCCUCACUUCGUUAUCUGAUUUCUUCACUCAAAUGAGUUUAUUAUAUGAAGACACAGAGAAACAACUGACAGCUGAGAUCAAAAUGCGCUCAUUAAGACAGGGCCGCCGCCCAGUAGAGGAAUAUCUAUCUGAAUUCAAACUUUACAUCAAGGAUUCAGAAUGGAGUGAGGUAGCCCUGCGCAACCAGUACCGACUGGGAUUGUCCGAUGCUCUAAAGGACGAACUUGCCCGCACCAAUCUCCCUAGGACCCUGGAGGCUCUUAUGACUUUGUCUGUUCAGAUUGACCGGAGAAUCAGAGAACGGAGGUCAGAAAGACAACAAUCUGACACGUCCCAAAGGUUUACACCUGGGUUGUCUAGCACAAAGGAUACAUCUGUACCCAUGGAGCUUGGGUUCACCAAGGGGCCCUUAACAUUGGAUGAAAGACAUCGCCGUCAGCAGAAGAAUCUCUGUAUGUACUGUGCUUCUCCCAAUCAUCCAGUUAAGGAAUGUCCUCUUCUACUACGUCAAAAAAGAAGUAAGUGCAAACCUAUAACUCAUUGUUUGACAAAUAAAGUGGUUGAUGUGGCUUACUGUACCUUAUCUCUAUCCCUACAGUGGGACCUCCAGCUGUUCAGAGCGGAAGCAAUCAUUGACUCCGGAGCAUUCUCUAAUUUCAUUGAUCUGUCCCUUGUAAAUAAAAAUAAAAUACCCCUGUGUGUCAAAGCAAUACCUGUCUCCAUUCGUGUCAUUGAUGGAACCUAUGUUAGUUCUGGCCCUAUCACACACCACACCAUUCCACUUAAGGUUACUACAGGUAACGGGCACGUAGAGUACUUGUCCUUCGAUGUCCUUCCUUCUCCUUUAUACCCCAUUGUAUUGGGCUUAUCCUGGCUACAACAACAUCAGCCUACGAUCUCUUGGCAGUCCUUACAAGUGGAACUUGAUUCAACAUACUGCAAGACUUCUUGCUAUCCCCAUCAACAGGUACUACAAGUCUCCCCAGCAACAAUACCACAAGAGUAUCAAGAUUUCUCGGAUGUAUUCGACAAAAAGCAAGCAGAGACUCUCCCUCCUCAUCGCAUAUAUGAUUGCCCUAUUGAGUUGUUGCCUGGUUCCAGCAUACCCUACGGACGUAUAUAUCCACUCUCUCAACCUGAAUUAGCUCAUCUCAAGGCGUACUUAGAGGAGAACCUUAAGAAAGGUUUCAUCAGACCAUCCACCUCCCCAGCAGGAGCCGGGAUCUUUUUCGUCAAGAAUAAAGAUAAAACCUUGAGGCCCAUCAUAGACUAUCGUGAGUUAAACAGAAGAACCAAAAAGAACAGGUACCCUCUACCACUGAUCCCAGAAUUAGUGGAACGCCUCAGUAAAGCUACUGUUUACACCAAGCUGGAUUUAAGAGGGGCAUACAAUCUCAUUAGGAUCAGGGAGGGGGACGAGUGGCUCACCGCCUUUCAGACUCGCUACGGACUCUAUGAAUAUCUUGUUAUGCCGUUUGGGCUGUGCAACGCCCCAGCAACCUUCCAGUUUUUUAUCAAUGAUAUAUUCAGAGAUCUACUGGACGUUUGCUUGGUAAUAUACUUAGACGACAUCCUAAUAUACUCCCAAAACAUGGAGGACCAUAAGAAACAUGUCCGUUGGGUAUUAAGUCGAUUAAGAACACACCACUUGUACGCCAAACUUGAGAAGUGCUCCUUCCACACUGAAGAAAUCACCUUUUUGGGCUACAAAAUCACUUCAUCUGGUGUUAAAAUGGAAGAUGGAAAAAUCGACACCAUUCUUAAAUGGCCUACCCCUACCAACAGGAAACAGGUUCAACGUUUCCUAGGCUUCGCAAAUUUUUAUCGCAAGUUCAUUAAAGGAUUCUCAAUGAUUGCGAAACCUCUCUGUAGACUCACAGGUACUCAAACCCGUUUCCUUUGGACACCUGAAACCGAACAUGCUUUCAACUUCCUCAAGAAAUGCUUCACUACUGCUCCCAUCCUCCGAUUCCCAGAUGCAAAUCUGCAGUACAUCCUAGAGGUUGAUGCCUCUGAGUACGCUCUUGGUGCAAUUCUCUCACAGCGUAAAAGUCCAUCAGAACCUAUCCAUCCAGUAGCAUUUUUUUCCAGACUUAUGACCUCAGCCGAACAAAAUUAUGCUGUUGGAGAAAAAGAACUUCUCGUGAUUAAGUCAGCUCUUGAACAUUGGAGGCAUCUCUUGGAAGGUACAAUCUACCCAAUAUUGAUUUAUACCGACCACAAGAAUUUAGAAUAUCUACAGUCCAGUAAAACCCUCUCUGCCAGACAAGCUCGUUGGAGUUUGUUCUUCACCAGAUUCAACUUCCUCAUUACUUAUCGGCCUGGCUCCCGGAAUGGCAAGGCUGACUCUCUCUCUAGACAUUUACUUCGGCAGGACCUUGAAAAACAACCACAAACCAUCAUUCCACCUCAACAGUUCCUCGGUCUCACGAAAGACUUCAUUCAUACCCUACGUUCACAACAACAGAUUGAUACAACGGUCCCCAAGGACAUACAACAAACCGACACCAGGGGAAUUUCUCAUGUUAAGGGUAAAAUAUACAUCCCUCCCAACCUUAGAGAAGAGGUCUUGCAUGACCAUCAUGAUACCCCUCUAUCAGGACACCCAGGCACCCACAGAACCAGUGACCUCAUUGGUAGAAAUUUUUGGUGGCCUAACCUCAGACAUUCAGUACAUAACUACAUCAAGUCAUGCCUGUACUGUUUCUAAGUCACAAAAGACCAAACCAUCAAGCUACCUCCAACCGCUGCCCAUUCCAGAAAGACCUUGGCAUACCGUUGGUAUGGACUUUAUUGUUGAAUUACCAUUAUCUAAUCAAGCCAACACCAUUUUAGUUGUCGUUGAUUUGUUGACGAAAAUGGCUCAUUUUAUUCCCUACAAAAAGCUGCCCACAGCCUCAGAAACUGCAUCCCUGUUCCUGAAACAUAUCGUCCGACUUCAUGGUCUACCAUCCAUCAUUGUAUCCGACAGGGGCUCGCAAUUCACAUCCAAGUUUUGGAAACAACUAUGUGCUGUGCUUAAAAUCAACCAUCACUAUAGUACAGCAUACCACCCACAAACUAAUGGUCAGACAGAGCGUGUAAAUCAGUGGAUUGAACAGUACAUUCGCUGUUACUGUUCCCACCAACAGGAAGAAUGGGAGAACAACAUUCCUAUGGCAGAAUUCGCCUACAAUAACUCCUUAAAUGGAUCUACUAAAUGUUCACCCUUCUAUGCGAACUAUGGCUACCAUCCACCGUUCCAUCUAUUCCCACAUCUGAACACCUCCUCACCUCAUGUCGACGAUACAGCAAAUUCUUUAUCAGACAUCUUCAAAUUUCUUAAAGACAAUAUACAUUUGGCUCAGCAAAACCAGAAAAGAUACUAUGACUACAAAAGAAGCAAACCACCACUCUACCGGACAGGGGAUAUGGUUUGGCUGUCGACCAAACAUCUGAAACUAAAAACUCCCUCACGGAAAUUUUCACAAAUGUACAUUGGUCCCUACAGGAUAACUAAUGUCGUCAAUGAAAACGCUGUGACCUUAGCUCUCCCUCCAGAGAUCCCGGUUCACCCCACUUUUCAUGUGGCAUUGAUAAAACCCUAUGUUCCAACGAGACUACAAUCUUCGAAUCAACCUCAGCCUCCUGUGGUUCUGGUGGAGGACGUCUAUGAAAUAUCUUCAAUUCUCGACUCCAGACAUCAUCAUGGGCAGUUGCAGUAUCUGGUUAGGUGGAAGGGCUACUCCUCUGAAGAGGAUUCUUGGGAACCUUCCACCAAUCUCAAUGCCUCUCGUCUGAUUACUCGUUACCACCAUAAAAAUCCAGACAAACCCGGACCCUCUGCUGCGGUGCAGCUUCCUUGAGGGGGGGGAUCUGUCAUGUUCUUUGUGCAUGUGUGUACACCUUUAAGCACUCCUUACUUAAACCUACACCUCCCCCUUCCAGGUGCCAAUUAAUGUUAGUUUUCAGCAUGCAAAGUUGCGACUAGCUGCAUGUUCUAAACCUCCUGGCUAAGUGAUUAUCCUCUACCUAAUCGUUGGAUUACAACUAAUAUACUUUUGGGUAUUUUCAACCUACUAUACCGUACACAUUUAACGGUCCUAAGGACUUAUAUUCCAAUUUGUUUGUACUGUUAACCAGGACUACUGCCUUUCAUUGCCGGUAUAUCCAAAGUCUCCUGCAGACAACUCCCUCCAUCAAACACAGUGAGUUUAUGUUCCUCUGAACUUCCUUUGCACCUCUGAACAAACUCGAUCUUUCCAGCUACCUGGCAUUCCUUACACUUACUCACCGACCAUCCUUCCGCACUGUAGCCGCGCUGUGAAGCCUCUCACACAGCGUCUGCCUGUCAGCGUGAUCUCACACGCUAUUGGACAGUCGUCACACACCCCUCUGAGGCUGUCAGCUAUCUGCAGCGCUGGCUCGUCUCCCCUCACAGGCUCUGUCUCCAUUCCAGCCUGAGCAGUAUAUAAUACCAGACCGCUCCUAAAACACUCUCAACUCGGAGUUGAUCAGCCACAUGUUCUCUAAACUUGCAACUUGAACUCAGGAGAGUGGUCCCACUUGAACAGAUGCUCAUAUACAAUUGACUCUUUGCUAAUACUCGCAUGACCUACUCUCUCCUGUAACCAGUAAACAGGGGUAAAUAACCUCUACUCAAUUCCUCUACUCUUUCCCUCUCUGCAGUUGAGAUCCAUAAUCUCCAGUUACAAUCCAUUGCUCUGACAAUUUUGUGGUCAGUAAACCAUUUUUGUGUUGAUGAUUUUUAAAUAUGUUUGGGAUCAUUGUCCUGCUUGAAGAUCCAACCACAGCCCAUUUUAAGCUUUCUGGCAGGGUCAUUUAAUAUCUGUUGAGAUUUGAUAGAGUCCAUGAUGCCAUGUAUCCUAACAAAAUGUCCAGGUCCUCUGGCAGAAAAACAGCCCCAAAACAUUAAAGAGCCACCACCAUAUUUAACCAUGGGCAUGAGGUACUUUUCCAUAUGGCUAACUAUCUGUGUGUGCCAAACCCACCUCUUGUGUUUAUUGCCAAAAACUCUAUUUUGGUUUUGUCUGACCAUAGAAACCAAUCCCAUUUAAAGUUCCUGUAGUUUCUAGUUUUGAGUUUGUUUUUGGAGGAGAGUAGAGGCUUUUUUCUUGAAACCCUUCCAAACAACUUCUGGUAAUGUAGGUGACGUCGGAUUGUAGUUUUGGAGACUUUCUGAACCCAAGAUGCAACUAACUUCUGCAAUCCUUGGAGAUAUGUUGGCCACUAAAACUAUUCCCUUCACAGUGUGUUGAGACAACAUAGACACACGUCCUCUUCCAGAUGAUUCAAAACAUUUCUAGUUGACUGGAACUUCUUAAUCAUUGCCCUGAUGGUGGAAAUGUGCAUUUUCAGUGCUUUUGCUAUUUUCUUAUAGCUACUUCCCUUUUUGUGAAGCUCAACAACCUUUUGCAACACAUCACAGUGAAACAGUAAGUUAUGGUUGAACAAUUUCAUGUUCCUAGUGACCCAGGUGUUCUAAAAAAUGUAAAAUAUCAAUGGGAAUAUACUUCAAAUCUAUUUUUCACCUAUGGAUUCAUAUGGGUGCCAAUAAUUAUGCCACCCAUCUAUUUAACAAAAAGUUGUUGUUUUUUGUUUGUUUUUGAUAAACCUUUGUUCGAUAUCCAUAACAGCAGAGUAUUUUUGUGUAAUUUUUUUUUAACAAAAGAGCAAAAAGGUUAAAUAAUAAAGUCUAUUUUUCACAGCCUUCUUUGUUCAUAUUUACCAAGGGUGCCAAUAUUAGUGGAGGGCAAUGUAUGUAUAUAUGUGUACAGUGAUUUAAAGAUAUAGUUCAAUAGUAAAUUAUAGAUUCAAAUUUAGUGAAGAGCUUCACUAAUUGAUCACUCAAGCAAUUAUACACAUGAGUUUUUCGGCAGGCCCCCAUAGAUGUCUAUUAUGUGGAGGAUUUAGUGCACAUGCAAUAUCCGACAUUCAUUUGUUUCACUUGAACACUUAUAUAUUACUUUUAACUUGUAAUAUGAACGCAACAAUAAAAGAGCUAUUGAUUUAACGUGAGUGGGUGGAUUUUAACCAUUAACAAAAACAAUUGCAGCAAACAAGAUGUUGACUUGUUAUAAAAUGUUUAGACUUGACAGACAUGUUAUUCUAUAGCAAGACGACAAAAAUUUUGUGUAACUACAGGGUGUUUAAUGUCCCCUUAAUGAACCUUAAAGUCACAUUUAGAACUCCUGUGUUUAAACUCUGAUACCGAGAGUUCUAAAUAAUUCAGUAUACAUCCAGAUUAAACAAAAUACAGAUUUAUUUUUUUAUUUCCCCACUGCUGCUCCUCAUUAUCUGACUUCCUUUAUACACUAAUGUUUUGUAGAUGAUCCAUUUAUAUAGCCCAUACAGGUUUUUUUUUUUUUUAAAUGUAUAGUUUUGCUUAUUUUAAAUAACAUUGUGCUGAUUUCAGACUCCUAACCAAGCCCCAACAUUUUAGAAGUGGACUGUUGUCUACCUACUCCAGCUUGUUCCUGUUUGUGUAAAUGGUCUUUUCAUAUGCAGAGGAGGUGAGGUGUCUGCUCUUUUUGCUGUCCUGACACUUUCACUGGGUGUCCCAGACUACCCUUUUAAACAGUGCUAAACUGGGAGCUUCUAUGUAAGUUUAUAAAAGGUUUUAUGCUGGAUUUUUAGACCAGUAUCUGUGCAUAUUAUUCUUUAUAGUAGUGUCUAUUAAAUGCAGUUAUAUGAAAUUUGGUGUAUACUGUCCCUUUAACUCCCUUUCCAUCAUUAUCUUUCCUUGUCUUUGUACCCAUUUGUCUAUCCUAUAUUUCUACCAUUGUUUCUUUCGUUUCAUUCCUCCUUGCUUGCAGGAUAGGAUAGACUUCAGUAGGGUAGCUGUAAUGGGUCAUUCCUUUGGAGGAGCAUCUGCUAUGCUGAGUCUUACAAAAGAUGAUACUUUCAGAUGCGUAGUUGCUCUGGACCCCUGGAUGGGCCCUCUGGAAGAUACUGCUUAUCCAAA